GACGGUGGCCAUGUUUGCAUUUCCAGCUGUCUAGAUGCGGGUUAGCUAACCGGUUAGCUGUCUGAGCUACAUUUGCUUUUUUAUUCGGGGUAAAAAUUGACGAACAGCUCUGCCACCCCGUUAACACCGGCUCAUCUUUACGCCGCCAUGCCGGUUCACUCCCGGGAGAAGAAAGAAAGUAACCACGAAGAAAUGGAGGUGGAUUUUCCCGAGCAGGACGGCAGCAGCACAGACGAGGAGGACACCGUUAGCUCAUCCGUGUCUGAAGAUGGAGACAGCUCGGAGAUGGAUGAUGAGGACUGUGAGAGGAGGAGGAUGGAGUGCCUGGAUGAGAUGACCACCCUGGAGAAGCAGUUCACUGACUUGAAGGAGCAGUUGUACAAGGAGCGUCUGAGCCAGGUGGACAUCAAGUUGCAAGAGGUAAUGGCUGGCUGUGCCCAGGAGUACCUGGAGCCUUUAGCCAACCUGCAGGAGAACAUGCAGAUCAGGACCAAAGUGGCAGGGAUCUACAGAGAGCUGUGUUUGGAGUCAGUGAAGAAUAAGUACGAGUGUGAGAUCCAGUCGGCCUGCCAACACUGGGAGAGUGAGAAGCUGCUGCUGUUCGACACUGUACAGAGUGAACUGGAGGAGAAGAUAAGAAGACUGGAAGAAGACAGACACAGUAUUGACAUUACCUCAGAGUUGUGGAAUGAUGGAUUGCACUCACGGAAAAACAAGAAAAAAGACCCGUUCUGUCCCGUCAAGAAGAAGAAGCCUGUUGUUGUCUCUGGGCCUUAUAUUGUUUACAUGCUGCAAGAUCUGGACAUUCUUGAAGACUGGACUGCGAUAAGAAAGUUGUGUCUGUCGCCCCCCCCACCCCCACCCCUUGCAGGCGAUGGCAUCACUGGGGCCGCACAGGGUGAAGGUGGAUGUUCCUGCAGUAAAGCCUGACAGACACCACCAUGUGGCGCGCUCUGAGGACGGUCGACUUUUCUAUGACAGCCAGUGGUACUGCAGGGGACAGGCCAUCUGUAUCAACAGGAAGGACGAGUACCCGACUAGUGCCAUCAUCACCACAAUCAACAAUGACGAGGUGUGGUUCAAACGACUGGACGGCACCAAGUCGAAGCUCUACAUCUCCCAGCUGCAGAAAGGCAAAUACACUAUCAAGCACUCAUAAAACCACACUGACACUCGCUCACACCCAUACAGUACAAAGACCAUCAUUUCUGCCUCCUUCCCAUGUUGUAUCUUUCUCCAUGCUUGCCAUAUGUACAGUACACACAAACACACACACACACACACACACACACACACACACUCUAACCUCCUAAAAAGAUUUUCACUCUUGAGCCUGACAAAUACACACACACACACACACUUUCUUUCACGCCCUCUUUGUUUGAGUAACAAAAAAGAAACUGUCCAGAAACAAACAAGUGUCAACUCAAGAAGAUGUUCUUCUCUGUAAAUAUGUAUAUGUAUGUUGAUAUUAUCGACAAGGUCACAAAGUGUCAUUCUCUCUGAAACGGAGAUCAAUGCAAAGUGCUGCUAAAAAAAAAAAAAAAAAUUUAAAAAAAUUAAAAAAACAAAAAAAAACAAGGGAGAAAAACCGGAGCAGUAGCGAACUGUGAAGCUCAGUCGCGUGCCUUUCUGAGAUGAGAUGAUGCCUCGGCUGAUUUAAAAAAAAAAAACAAAACAAAAAAAAAAAAAAAAAAAGUCCUGAACUAUCAAUGCAGUGAAGCCUUACUCUGUACGGUGUUAGCACCAGGAGGACUGAAGCGGGUCAUUGAAUGAGUGAGUGAGAAACCGUGAUGCAGGUGAGGAUGCUGUUAGACUUGAAUUUCAUGCUCCACAAAGCCUAAUAAAUCUGUAUUAGGAUCCCCAGGGACCCCAGUUUGAUAAAAUGUUUGAUUUAGUAACGAAAAAAAAUGCACAAGUGUCAAUUUGGAGAUGGAGAAUGAUUAAUCAAUUCUGAGCAGAUGAUGAUAUCGUGAACAUAAUGAGUUAAAACUAUUCUUCAAGAGCACCCCAGGGUUUUGUCGAAACCCACUUGGGGAGCCACUGUACUAAAUGAUCUCUUGAUGUGUUGAUGUUUUCAGUGUAAUUUUACCAGCACUACAUUUUUAAGUUCAAACCGAGGCCAGCCUCCGUGCACUAAGCAAAACGCAACAGCUGGAAAUGAAGCCUAAACAUGCAGAAGUGGCAGGUGCCCUGUAUAUAGAGACAGUGUAUUUUGUGUUGAGCUCACUGUGAUUCUUCCCCUCUGUCUCCUGUCAUGUUGCCGUGCGUCUGAUAGUGCCUACAGCUGAACUUUUAAAGGGAAAUAUUUCAACCUGGCAUAUUUGCCAUAAAUUUGGCUAUUGUGGCUCCCUAUGCAGUUAGCCAUAAUGGCCACCGCAGGCGGCUACUUUCUGUUAGAGACAAAGAUUAUAGCUGUAGGAGGCUUGCACAGCUUGCCUCCAUGGACAGUACGUUGCUUGCUGAAGUUCUUGUUUCCCUGAAUCUCUACAACAGAGGUGACGAGUGCAAAGUUAGCAUCACCCGUGGCUAAUACGCCAGGUUGAAAUAUACCAGAAUUUUCCUUUUAAGGCGGGAUCCAAAAAAAGGUUUACUCCACAGGUUUGAGCUGUGUUUUUUUUCUAUAGUGUUGGGCUCAUAACAGAAUUCAUUGUGCCAUUUUUCAACCUUUUUGUCUAUAUUCAGCCUAAUUUGUGUCUGCUAAAAAAUGAAAUAAGAUCAUUUAUUAAGUACCGCAGUGUAAAUCUUCUAUCUGUUAAAUCUCUCAAAAUCAAAAGUUAUCUCCUGUUCCCUGUCCUCUUCCUCUUGUCUUUUUUGUCACUUCACCCCCCUCCUCCCCCUUGUGUUCUUCUUUGCUGUCAGUAAAAAUGUUCCUCAACAUUUAUGUAUUAACAGUACAAAGAGAAAGCAAGAAGGGAUUUUUUUUAUGUGUGUACAAUCCGUCCAUUGUAAAUUAUGUUCAGUGACGGGGAUCUUGCUUUGUGUUGUGCUGCUUUAUACUUUCAGCAUUGCAUACAUAUUUCAAAAUAUUACCUGACAAAAGUAUUGUAAAGAGAGGUCCUUUCAACACUGUACCAUAAACAUAAAGAAAAGUGUAUGUAAAGCCUAAUAAGGCGUCCACUUAGUAGAGCUUUUGUUUUGUUUUUUUUAACUACACUUGUUUUGAUGCAUCAUGGUUCCUUUUCCACAUUAGACGUACAAAGAAAACUGACAUUGUGCCAAUGCAUGUACAGCUGAUUAAAGAUUUUGUUUGUAUCAUU